CCGAGUUAUACAACUCAUCAACCCUGUGAACAUACCUAUAACGUUGCCUCGGCGGGAACAGACGGCCCCGUAACACGGGCCGCCCCCGCCAGAGGACCCCCUAACUCUGAUUCUAUAAUGUUUCUUCUGAGUAAACAAGCAAAUAAAUUA
rnacentral:misc_RNA from 1 species